GUUAGCUCUGUUGGUCAGAGCGUGGUGCUGAUAAUGCCAAGGUCGCAGGUUCAAACCCUAUAUGGGCCA